rnacentral:rRNA from 1 species
GAGGAAUUUUCCGCAAUGGGGGAAACCCUGACGGAGCAACGCCGCGUGAACGAAGAAGUCUUUCGGGAUGUAAAGUUCUUUUCUGUGGGAAGAAAGAAAGACGGUACCACAGGAAUAAACAUCGGCUAACUACGUGCCAGCAGCCGCGGUAAUACGUAGGAUGCAAGCGUUGUCCGGAAUUACUGGGCGUAAAGGGCGAGCAGGUGGCACUACAAGUCUGAUGUAAAAUCUCCCGGCUUAACUGGGAGGGGCCAUUGGAAACUGUAGAGCUGGAGUGCAGGAGAGGCUAACGGAAUUCCCGGUGUAGUGGUGAAAUGCGUAGAUAUCGGGAGGAACACCAGUGGCGAAGGCGGUUAGCUGGCCUGUAACUGACACUGAGGCGCGAAGGCUAGGGGAGCGAAC